GGCCCAUAGAAGAAUAUGGACAUCCACUGAUCAUCACUCAUCCUGAAUUGUACCAACACAUGUCACAAUAAAAUUGUAUAAGCAUCAUGAUAUAGCGGAUCUCUGUAUUAGGGAAAGCUUACCCUUUAGUUAACCUGAUCAUUGGUUCACACUGUGAAGGGGGGGAGUGUAUGGGUACUGCUGAGUCACGGCCUGAACCUCUGAUUGAUCACCUGAGGCAAGCCAUGAGGCAGCCAGAGGAGCACAGAUGAAGGCAAUUCUCCUGUGCUGCCAGAAGGGGUGGAGCCUGGCUCCAGCCCUCCUAGACCUAUUUAAGAGCUGGCUACCAGUGGGGAAGGAUCUCUUCUGGAGAUUGCCUCUGCUGGUGUUUUGUGAGUGAGCCCAGGAUAGGGUCUCCCUUCAGAUAUUGAAAGGCUGUGAUCUGGUCUCCUUAUAACCCAGCUCCUCUGUUAGUGACACAUGAAGACUUUAAGAGUGGGGGAGUAGCAAACCGGAGGAGAAAAGAUUUUACAGCUAAAGAAACCAUAUGUCAACCUGAAGGAGAGCAUCCAAUCUGUACCUCCGCUGCUGAAUUUCCUUUUGAUGCUACUGGCUUUAAUCUUCAGAUCUAUGUCAGUAGUCAGUAAAAUGUGGAUAUUACCCUUCUACUUGAAAGAUGCUAUGAGGUUUUUAGUGUUUGAAAUCCAUGAGGUUAUUCCAGCACAAGCACCUGAGAAAAGCCCAGAAGGAAAAGAACACAUCCACAUUUAAGAGAGAGCUUAUGAGUCCACAUAUAGGAAGAGUGGGGGGAAAAAAGGAAUAUUUUAGAAGAUUUGAGAAUGAGCACCAGUUGUCCUGUGUGCUGGAUGAAAUGGGACUCCUGUGGAAAAACCAUGACCAAAUUGUAAUCCAUGCAUACAUCUGUGUGUACAUAUAUACUCUGACACAUAUACAUAUAUAGCACUUCAAAAAAAAAAAUCUUCCAGUUUUUGCUCACUCAUGGAAGUUUCUAUCACAGGCACCUAUCACAAGAUAGAACACUGCUUUUCACUUUUGCCCUUAUUUAUUAAAAUAUACUCAUUUUCACCUUCAUUGUGACCUUUUUCCCUUGUUUCUCACUUUCCACAUCUGUACAAUCUGAUGCUCUCUUCCAUCCUCCCAAGACGUAACAUUGCACAGCAACACCAAAACACUGUUGGGAUUGUAUUUCUUUGAGAGACUUUUCUUCAGACUACUACUGCCCUCCUGAGAGGCAUGUGAUUCCCAUUAGAGUCAGUGUAAGCUCUGCUGCAAAGCGACUGCAAUCUGUAUCUCACAAGCUCUCCACCAGACUGUGGGGGCUCUGAUCGUUAAACACUGCCAUUUUAUAUAGUUAGUUGGGAGUGCUAAUUUAUAUGCUUGUAUUUUAACCAGAAUGGAACAGCUUCAGUAUUUUUUUAUUCCUCUUCUGUAGCCAAAAAUAAAGCUUCCUGAUAAGUCUGAGCUAGAAUAUUUUACAUCAUGCAAGUGGCUCCAAGACCAGGAAGUGAGAAGACUCCAAUGAGCCCUUCGUGACUGCUGGCCUGUGAGAAAGGAGGAAGAUGUCAUUUUCUCAGCUAAAUAAAAAUAUCUGAUUGGAAAAA